CUACGGGAUGCUCCAGUAAGGAAUAUUGGUCAAUGGACGAAAGUCUGAACCAGCCAUGCCGCGUGGAGGAUGAAGGUCCUCUGGAUUGUAAACUUCUUUUAUCUGGGACGAAAAAAGACUUUUCUAAGUCGUCUGACGGUACCAGAUGAAUAAGCACCGGCUAACUCCGUGCCAGCAGCCGCGGUAAUACGGAGGGUGCAAGCGUUAUCCGGAUUCACUGGGUUUAAAGGGUGCGCAGGCGGGCAAUUAAGUCAGUGGUGAAAUCCUGGGGCUUAACUCCAGAACUGCCAUUGAUACUAUUUGUCUUGAAUGUCGUGGAGGUCAGCGGAAUAUGUCAUGUAGCGGUGAAAUGCUUAGAUAUGACAUAGAACACCGAUUGCGAAGGCAGCUGACUACGCGAAUAUUGACGCUCAUGCACGAAAGCGUGGGGAUCAAACAGGAUUAGAUACCCUAGUAGUC
rnacentral:rRNA from 1 species